GAUGAACGCUGGCGGCGUGCCUAAUACAUGCAAGUCGAGCGAAUGGAUUAAGAGCUUGCUCUUAUGAAGUUAGCGGCGGACGGGUGAGUAACACGUGGGUAACCUGCCCAUAAGACUGGGAUAACUCCGGGAAACCGGGGCUAAUACCGGAUAACAUUUUGAACCGCAUGGUUCGAAAUUGAAAGGCGGCUUCGGCUGUCACUUAUGGAUGGACCCGCGUCGCAUUAGCUAGUUGGUGAGGUAACGGCUCACCAAGGCAACGAUGCGUAGCCGACCUGAGAGGGUGAUCGGCCACACUGGGACUGGGACACGGCCCAGACUCGUCCGGGAGGCAGCAGUAGGGAAUCUUCCGCAAUGGACGAAAGUCUGACGGAGCAACGCCGCGUGAGUGAUGAAGGCUUUCGGGUCGUAAAACUCUGUUGUUAGGGAAGAACAAGUGCUAGUUGAAUAAGCUGGCACCUUGACGGUACCUAACCAGAAAGCCACGGCUAACUACGUGCCAGCAGCCGCCGUAA
rnacentral:rRNA from 1 species